UACAGAGGGGGCAAGCGUUGUUCGGAAUUACUGGGCGUAAAGGGCGCGUAGGCGGCCUGCUAAGUCGAACGUGAGAUCCCUGGGCUUAACCCAGGAACUGCGUCCGAUACUGGUUGGCUUGAAUCCGGGAGAGGGAUGUGGAAUUCCAGGUGUAGCGGUGAAAUGCGUAGAUAUCUGGAGGAACACCGGUGGCGAAGGCGACAUCCUGGACCGGUAUUGACGCUGAGGCGCGAAAGCCAGGGGAGCAAACGGG
rnacentral:rRNA from 1 species